UACGUAGGGUGCGAGCGUUGUCCGGAAUCACUGGGCGUAAAGAGCUCGUAGGUGGUUUGUCGCGUUGUUCGUGAAAACCGGGGGCUUAACCCUCGGCGUGCGGGCGAUACGGGCAGACUUGAGUACUACAGGGGAGACUGGAAUUCCUGGUGUAGCGGUGAAAUGCGCAGAUAUCAGGAGGAACACCGGUGGCGAAGGCGGCUAUCUGGACGACAACUGACGCUGAGGCGCGAAAGCGCGGGGAUCAAACAGG
rnacentral:rRNA from 1 species